AAAUAAUGAAAUGGGCAAAGGGACACCUCGUUAGUGGUGUUGUUCUUAUGUCAGUCAGGGGGAGAGCAGAUGACAGUCCUCUGUUUAUCCUAGCUUGAUGCCUGGCUUGGUGGCCAAAGCGGGCUUAUGCCUAGGACUCCUAA